GCUUUCUCCUCUUAAUAUCAAAUUUUUUAUUUUUCCUUUAAAAAUAAAAAGAUUGAGGGAAUAGCGGGAAAUAGC
rnacentral:misc_RNA from 1 species